rnacentral:ncRNA from 1 species
UGAAAAGCAAUGAAAGGACAUGAGUAAUGCUUAAUCUCCCUGUUUUAAGAGAACUGAUGGCGGGUGGAAAUCAGUACACAGAUAAGCAUGAAUUACAAUCCCGGAGCUUCUUUUUCCCGGAAAAUUUUCAGGGAAAUAGACGGUCAACAGAUCGUUAUUGUCUUAAGUGGUGAAUGUUACUAUUCACAAUGAGGGUGGUACCGCGGUUAAAAAAUCGUCCCUGUU